rnacentral:ncRNA from 1 species
CAGGUGUCUAUCGAGACUUAAUAGGGAAGCCGGUGUGUAUGCCGGCGCGGUCCCGCCACUGUAAGGGGAGCGAGUCCACAUAGUUACGUCACUGGGAAAGCCCGGGAAGGCGUGGAGGAGCGAUGAUCUGAGCCAGGAGACCUGCCUGUUCGA